UUAAAAUUAAAUAGCGAUUGUCGGCAUAGUCGCUUUUCUAGUGUGUCACUUAGAGGAUUGCAAGACAAUAUUAAGUGACUAGACCGAACACUCGUGCUAUAAUUUUAAAAU
rnacentral:pre_miRNA from 12 species